rnacentral:rRNA from 1 species
GAUGAACGCUGGCGGCGUGCCUAAUACAUGCAAGUCGAACGCACAGCGAAAGGUGCUUGCACCUUUCAAGUGAGUGGCGAACGGGUGAGUAACACGUGGACAACCUGCCUCAAGGCUGGGGAUAACAUUUGGAAACAGAUGCUAAUACCGAAUAAAACUUAGUGUCGCAUGACACAAAGUUAAAAGGCGCUUCGGCGUCACCUAGAGAUGGAUCCGCGGUGCAUUAGUUAGUUGGUGGGGUAAAGGCCUACCAAGACAAUGAUGAAUAGCCGAGUUGAGAGACUGAUCGGCCACAUUGGGACUGAGACACGGCCCAAACUCCUACGGGAGGCUGCAGUAGGGAAUCUUCCACAAUGGGCGAAAGCCUGAUGGAGCAACGCCGCGUGUGUGAUGAAGGCUUUCGGGUCGUAAAGCACUGUUGUAUGGGAAGAACAGCUAGAAUAGGAAAUGAUUUUAGUUUGACGGUACCAUACCAGAAAGGGACGGCUAAAUACGUG